rnacentral:lncRNA from 10 species
CUCCUGCCUUGGCCUCCCAAAGUGCUGAGAUUACAUACAUUGGUCAAAGGAUCUUUCUUAAAAGGAUGCUCAGGAGCUUCCAGGUUCAACAGAUGCGUGAGAUCCAUAGCAGAAACAUUGCUGUCCUCUUCAGAUUCAAGUACGGGUGAAAGUCAAGCUCUGGGAUACUGGAGCAGGGCUAUAUAAUUCUCUUUCCCUUGUAAUUUCAUUAAAAAAGAUUAAGGAAACCCUUG